GCUCCCUCCCGCCUCCCUUUUCCCUCAGUGAACUGCUUCCUCGCGUCAGUUCGGGUCCUUCCUCGGCAGAACAGCGAUCCCCGGGCCCGUACAGCCGCACAGAAGGCAGCGGGAUCUUAUCGGGGUGUGGAGGGGCCGUCACGCCGGGCCAGGCCUCUCCCUGGCCCUGAGGUGUCCGCCUGCAGGGUCACUGCUCGGUGCUCGCUGCUCUGCCCGGCAGUGUCUCGGAGCUGCUGUGAUAUAGACACUGGAGACAAUCAGCCACUGAAGAUCAGACAAUGUCUGUGUGUUCCCACUCAGUGGGCCGGAGGCCGGAUGUUCCCAGUUAUCUGUUCUGCAUGUGGAUGUCCACGGGUAUGAAGGUCACGGUGGGAUGCUGAGACAGGCUGUGGCUGUUCUGCCCUAAAGCUGGUGGCAUUGCUGGUUUGGCACUUUUGGGUUCCAGCUCCCGCUUCACUCUCAUGCGCCUGAAAAGGUAAAAAUGAAAUUGUCACCAGGGUUGGCACG